rnacentral:lncRNA from 1 species
GCCGAUUUUGUUCGGAACUGGUGAACUCCUCAUAAGUCUUGUCCUGGUGACUGAAGUAAGAGAAUAGGCAAUUAACCCAUUAACAACCCGUCUGAACCGUCCAAUUUGCAAAACCAUCCGACCGAAACAGAACCGGACGGGCUGCUGGUAUACCUAAAAAGGAGGAAACCCAGAAAAAUUUUCACGUUCUAUCAAAUAGAAAACCUUCCAUUCUUCAGCCGAAUCCUUCUCUGUGCAAAUCCUCCCAAGAAUCCAAAUUCGAAAUAUUCAACUUCAAGUCAAAUUAGAUGGAAGGAGAACAUGUAAGUCUGGAAUUUAAGUUAGUGAAUUUCGAAUUUGCGCCAUUGAAAUCUGUGAAAAGAUGAUCUUUUUGGGUUGGUGCCCCUUUCAUUUUUCAAAUUUGAUGUCAUAUUCACCACGAUUCCGUCCCCUUGUAAAUUAUGUCUUUGUUUUAGUUUAUGUACAAUGAUUGUAUUUUCAAUUAAUUACAUGGGUGAACUUGAAAAUCAAUUUUUUGUUAGCUUUUUAUUUCUGUGAAUUCAGAACAGAUUUUCUCCCCUUAAUACAUAGGUGAUUAAGCAAUAUACUAUUUCCACUAUUUGUUCUCUUGAAGAAGCUCUUUUUUAUUGUUUCCAAUUGUCACUACAUUCAGCGCUUAAUUUGACCUUUUUUUUUUCUUUUUUUUUUUUAAAGGUCACUUGUGAGAAUAGUAGUUUUUGGUCAGUGGUUGUUUUAUUAUUUCAAAUGCAUAUUUCACUAUAUAUAUGAUUUAGAAAUUCUUGACUUUUGGGCACAGAUUGAUCAAAUGAAUUGGGUAACGAUUUCAAAUCCUUAGAAUUUGGGUCGUUACAAUUCCUAUGUGUUAGAACACACAACCACGUUUCUCCAAUAAUCCGCUCGACACACGCAGAAAUUGGGAAGAAUUUUAGGGGCGAAGAUACCUAAGUCCCCUAAAGAAUUUGACCUAAUGUUUAACUCCCAUUUUGUCCAUUUUAUAUCCCACAGGUGUAUGGAUAUUAACAAAUAAUAUAGUAGACUUACCGUUGAUUAAAUUAUUCUUAACUUCAAUUCAGUCAAAAACUAAUAGAAAUAGUUUGUCUUAUUUUUGUGAUUUUUUCUUCUAAUUAUAUGAAAACAAUAAAAGAUAAUUUUUUUUUGAUAUGAUUGUUUAGUGUUAGGAUUCAUGAAUUACCAAAUUUUGCACUUUAGUCCGGUUUUUCAUUCUUUCCAUAAACUUUGAUCAUUCACUUUAAAUUACGCAUUUUGGUCUUUCAACUUCUGUUCAUGUGCAAAUUAGUCCACAUUCCGUCCAAUGGCCAAAUCAUCUUUCUUUCUUUUCCGAAUACUUAGAAACAAAAAGAAAUUAAACAAAAUUAAGUAGAAACCAACACUUUGUCGGUAUAAAGCUUAGUAAUAUGGCUCGAAUAAGUGCACAAAAUGCACUUAUCAGCAGGGUUGGCGCUAAGGAGCGGGGGCAGAGGGGUAUUCGAAGCAUUACACAUGCUAUUACCCAUUUCUGAUGCUAUUUGUGCAUUAAACUCGUUAAUUAUGUUGGUUCAAAUUCAGGAUGUGCUGCGAGCUGUUGCAUUACUCGUAUUUGCCAACAAACAAGAUCUCCCCAAUGCAAUGAAGGAUGCUGAAAUGAUAGAAAAGCUUGGCAUGCGUUCGCUGAAGAAGCGUCCCUGGUAAACAAAUCUUGGUUCUUAUUGCCAUUGGUCUUUGUUUAUUGUUUUUUUUACCUUGGUUGGUUUCGAUUGUUUCCAGGUACGUCCAGGGCACCUGUGCCAUGUCUGGAAAGGGGCUUUACGAUGGUCUCGACUGGCUCUCUAAAACCAUUUCGUACAAGGCAAGUUCUGUUUAUCCAACAGUGUCGAUGCACUUUCUUCUUCAUUUGUAUUCGGUUUAAUUUCUCACAGUCGCUCCCUUCUUGCAGGCAUGAGGUCUGAUGCCGAGUUGGAAGUUCAGGUUUAACAAUAAUUAAUCAUGUGUGUGCGCCAGUUUAUGGAUCUUUCUGUUUUUUGUUAAGAACUUCUUAUGCUUUAUCAAAGAGUUCUGAUGUGUGUUCAGUUAUAUAAUUCUCUUAAAGACAUUGUUUGGUUUGGAAUAAAUGCUUUUACCCCAUAUUUUUAAUGUUUAAUAUUUGUUAUUACUAGAAUCCACUUAGAUUUGGAUCCUAACACUCCAUUUAAAAGUUUAUUAUGUUUUAUGACAUAAAUCUUAU